rnacentral:rRNA from 1 species
UACGUAGGUGGCAAGCGUUGUCCGGAUUUAUUGGGUUUAAAGGGUGCGUAGGUGGUCUAUUAAGUCAGUGCUGAAAUAUCCCGGCUUAACCGGGAGGGUGGCAUUGAUACUGAUGGACUUGAGUAAAGUUGAGGUAGGCGGAAUUGACGGUGUAGCGGUGAAAUGCUUAGAUAUCGUCAAGAACACCGAUAGCGAAGGCAGCUUACUAAGCUUUAACUGACACUGAGGCACGAAAGUGUGGGGAUCAAACAGG